GAGGAAUAUUGGUCAAUGGGCGAGAGCCUGAACCAGCCAAGUAGCGUGCAGGACGACGGCCCUAUGGGUUGUAAACUGCUUUUGUAUGGGGAUAAAGUCAAUCACAUGUGAUUGUUUGCAGGUACCAUACGAAUAAGGACCGGCUAAUUCCGUGCCAGCAGCCGCGGUAAUACGGAAGGUCCGGGCGUUAUCCGGAUUUAUUGGGUUUAAAGGGAGCGUAGGCUGGAGAUUAAGUGUGUUGUGAAAUGUAGACGCUCAACGUCUGACUUGCAGCGCAUACUGGUUUCCUUGAGUACGCACAACGUUGGCGGAAUUCGUCGUGUAGCGGUGAAAUGCUUAGAUAUGACGAAGAACUCCGAUUGCGAAGGCAGCUGACGGGAGCGCAACUGACGCUGAAGCUCGAAGGUGCGGGUAUCGAACAGGAUUAGAUACCCUGGUAGUCCGCACAGUAAACGAUGGAUGCCCGCUGUUGGUACCUGGUAUCAGCGGCUAAGCGAAAGCAUUAAGCAUCCCACCUGGGGAGUACGCCGGCAACGGUG
rnacentral:rRNA from 1 species